rnacentral:rRNA from 1 species
AACGAACGCUGGCGGCAGGCUUAACACAUGCAAGUCGAACGCACCUUUCGGGGUGAGUGGCCGACGGGUGAGUAACGCGUGGGAAUCUUCCCUUCUCUACGGGAUAGCUCCGGGAAACUGGAAUUAAUACCGUAUACGUCCUGAGGGCGAAAGAUUUAUCGGGGAAGGAUGAGCCCGCGUGGGAUUAGCUAGUUGGUGGGGUAAAGGCCUACCAAGGCGACGAUCCAUAGCUGGUCUAAGAGGAUGAUCAGCAACAUUGGGACUGAGACACGGCCCAAACUCCUACGGGAGGAAGCAGGUGGGAAUAUUGGACAAUGGGCGCAAGCCUGAGCCAGCCAGGCCGCGUGAGUGAUGAAGGCCCGAGGGUUGUAAAGCUCUUUCAGAGGGGACGAUAAUGACGGUACCCACAGAAGAAGCCCCGGCUAACUUCGUG